AUAGAAAUAUGUCCAAGACAUAUUCUGGGAUGAUCUUAGACAAUUGUGUGAACGGUGACAACAACUGAGUGUGGGUGAUCUACACUGAGCACUCUUGAAGCCACAGCAAACGAAACAAAGGGGCACAAAAUGCAAAAGAUACAUUCUACCCCCUGCCAGGUCACAACAGUAACUAUCAGAUCCACUACACCAAGAUUUCUGAAGACAAU
rnacentral:lncRNA from 10 species